UCGAGAAUUUUUCUCAAUGGGCAAAAGCUUGAAGGAGCGACGCCGCGUGGGGGAUGAAGGGCUUCGGCCUGUAAACCCCUGUCAUUUGCGAACAAACCUGCUCAUCUAACACAUGGGUAGCUGAUAGUAGCGAAAGAGGAAGGGACGGCUAACUCUGUGCCAGCAGCCGCGGUAAUACAGAGGUCCCAAGCGGUGUUCGGAUUCACUGGGCGUAAAGGGUGCGUAGGUGGUGGGAGAAGUUCGAUGUGAAAUCUCCGGGCUUAACCCGGAAACGGCAUUGAAAACUCUUCGGCUCGAGGAUCGGAGGGGAGACUGGAAUUCUCGGUGUAGCAGUGAAAUGCGUAGAUAUCGAGAGGAACACCAGUGGCGAAAGCGAGUCUCUGGACGAAACCUGACACUGAGGCACGAAAGCUAGGGGAUCAAACA
rnacentral:rRNA from 1 species